rnacentral:rRNA from 1 species
UACGUAGGGGGCAAGCGUUGUCCGGAAUUAUUGGGCGUAAAGAGCUCGUAGGCGGUUUGUCGCGUCGGCCGUGAAAACUUGGGGCUUAACCCCAAGCUUGCGGUCGAUACGGGCAGACUUGAGUUCGGCAGGGGAGACUGGAAUUCCUGGUGUAGCGGUGAAAUGCGCAGAUAUCAGGAGGAACACCGGUGGCGAAGGCGGGUCUCUGGGCCGAUACUGACGCUGAGGAGCGAAAGCGUGGGGAGCGAACAGG